rnacentral:rRNA from 1 species
CCUACGGGUGGCAGCAGUGGGGAAUAUUGGACAAUGGGGGCAACCCUGAUCCAGCCAUGCCGCGUGUGUGAAGAAGGCCCUCGGGUUGUAAAGCACUUUCAGUGAGGAAGAACGCCUGGUGGUUAAUACCCAUCAGGAAAGACAUCACUCACAGAAGAAGCACCGGCUAACUCCGUGCCAGCAGCCGCGGUAAUACGGAGGGUGCGAGCGUUAAUCGGAAUUACUGGGCGUAAAGCGCGCGUAGGUGGCUUGAUAAGCCGGUUGUGAAAGCCCCGGGCUCAACCUGGGAACGGCAUCCGGAACGGUCGAGAGAGAGGGCAGGGGGGGAAGGUAGAAUUCCCGGGGAAGCGGUGUAGUGAGUAGAGAGCGGGAGGAAUAACGGUGGCGAAGGAGGCCUUCUGGAGUGACAAUGACAGUGGGGUGCGAACGCUUGGGUAGCAAACAGGAUCAGAUACCAGUGUAGUC